GAUGAACGCUAGCGGCAGGCUUAAUACAUGCAAGUCGAGGGGCAGCACAGAUAGCAAUAUUGGGUGGCGACCGGCAAACGGGUGCGGAACACGUACACAACCUUCCUUUUGGUGGGGGAUAGCCUUUGGAAACGGAGAUUAAUACCCCAUAAGAUAUUGUGACCGCAUGGUUAUGAUAUUAAAGAUUUAUUGCCAGAAGAUGGGUGUGCGUAUGAUUAGGUAGUUGGUGAGGUAAAGGCUCACCAAGCCGACGAUCAUUAACUGGUGUGAGAGCACGACCAGUCACACGGGCACUGAGACACGGGCCCGACUCCUACGGGAGGCAGCAGUAAGGAAUAUUGGUCAAUGGACGGAAGUCUGAACCAGCCAUGCCGCGUGGAGGAUGAAGGUCCUCUGGAUUGUAAACUUCUUUUAUAUGGGGCGAAAAAGGGCCAUUCUUGGUCAACUGACGGUACCAUAUGAAUAAGCACCGGCUAACUCCGUGCCAGCCGCCGCAGUAAGAC
rnacentral:rRNA from 1 species